CCUACGGGUGGCAGCAGUGGGGGAUAUUGCACAAUGGGGGAAACCCUGAUGCAGCGACGCCGCGUGUGGGAAGACGGUCCUCUGGAUUGUAAACCACUGUCCCCAGGGACGAAGAUGACGGUACCUGGGGAGGAAGCUCCGGCUAACUACGUGCCAGCAGCCGCGGUAAUACGUAGGGAGCGAGCGUUGUCCGGAAUUACUGGGUGUAAAGGGAGCGUAGGCGGGACUGCAAGUUGGGUGUCAAAUCUACCGGCUCAACCGGUAGCCGCACUCAAAACUGCAGUUCUUGAGUGAAGUAGAGGCAGGCGGAAUUCCUAGUGUAGCGGUGAAAUGCGUAGAUAUUAGGAGGAACACCAGUGGCGAAGGCGGCUUACUAAGCCAUAACUGACACUGAAGCACGAAAGCGUGGGGAUCAAACAGGAUUAGAUACCCGGGUAGUC
rnacentral:rRNA from 1 species